rnacentral:rRNA from 1 species
GAUGAACGCUGGCGGCGUGCCUAACACAUGCAAGUCGAGCGAACGGACGAGACGCUUGCUUCUCUGAUGUUAGCGGCGGACGGGUGAGUAACACGUGGAUAACCUACCUAUAAGACUGGGAUAACUUCGGGAAACCGGAGCUAAUACCGGAUGAUAUUUUGAACCGCAUGGUUCAACAGUGAAAGACGGUCUUGCUGUCACUUAUAGAUGGUACCGCGCUGCAUUAGCUAGUUGGUAAGGUAACGGCUUACCAAGGCAACGAUGCAUAGCCGACCUGAGAGGGUGAUCGGCCACACUGGAACUGAGACACGGUCCAGACUCCUACGGGAGGCAGCAGUAGGGAAUCUUCGGCAAUGGGCGAAAGCCUGACGCAGCAACGCCGCGUGAGUGAUGAAGGUCUUCGGAUCGUAAAGCUCUGUUAUUAGGGAAGAAGAUAUGUGUAAGUAACUGUGCACGUCUUGACGGUACCUAAACAGAAAGCCACGGCUAACUACGUG